GACGAACGCUGGCGGCGUGCCUAAUACAUGCAAGUAGAACGCAGUUGCGAACGGGUGAGUAACGCGUAGGUAACUGCCUCAUAGCGGGGGAUAACUAUUGGAAACGAUAGCUAAUACCGCAUACUGUUAAAUGGACCUGCGUUGUAUUAGCUAGUUGGUGAGGUAAAGGCUCACCAAGGCGACGAUACAUAGCCGACCUGAGCGGGGGAUCGGCAAAAUUGGGAAUGAGAGAAGGCACAGACUCCUACGGGAGGGAGCAGUAGGGAAUCAUUGGCAAUGGAGGGAAAUCUGACUGCGGAACGCCGGGUGAGUGAAGAAGGUUUUUGGGUCGUAAAACUCUGUUGAUAGAGAAGCGGUAACUAACGAGAAAGGGACGGCUAACUACGUGCCAGCAGCCGCGGUAAUUC
rnacentral:rRNA from 1 species